rnacentral:rRNA from 1 species
UAGGGAAUCUUCCACAAUGGACGCAAGUCUGAUGGAGCAACGCCGCGUGAGUGAAGAAGGUUUUCGGAUCGUAAAGCUCUGUUGUUGGUGAAGAAGGAUAGAGGCAGUAACUGGUCUUUAUUUGACGGUAAUCAACCAGAAAGUCACGGCUAACUACGUGCCAGCAGCCGCGGUAAUACGUAGGAGGCAAGCGUUGUCCGGAUUUAUUGGGAGUAAAGCGAGCGCAGGCGGAAUGAUAAGUCUGAUGUGAAAGCCCACGGCUCAACCGUGGAACUGCAUCGGAAACUGUCAUUCUUGAGUGCAGAAGAGGAGAGUGGAAUUCCAUGUGUAGCGGUGGAAUGCGUAGAUAUAUGGAAGAACACCAGUGGCGAAGGCGGCUCUCUGGUCUGCAACUGACGCUGAGGCUCGAAAGCGUGGGUAGCGAACAGG